UGGUACAGGUUAUCUCUAGGACCCAGAAGAGUGGGAGAGACAAGUGUUGAACCAGAAUACGUAUCGUCGUUCCUAUUACCUCACAUUAGGAAAACAUAUAUUGCUUAUCUCCAGUCUAGUCCGUCACUCUUGACUCUUGUUGGGCAGAGACAAGUGGUACAGAGGCAGGUGCAAGUCUGCGAUUACCCACUCCAGAAUACGCUAUUUGUCUGGCGCUCUGUGGUUCUGUUCCUUAGCGAAUCAGUGAGCAGAGAUCACGAGAUAGUUUGGUGGGUUUAUGGGGUUAUCACGAAAGCUCCCGAGACCAGAGGAACGCCCGCAAGGUGAAAUGACACAAUAUAUCAUCUGCAUCCUGAGAGGCGGUCUGCGUUGCGUAAAAGAAGCGGAUGAUUGAAGAUAAACUGGGAGGUUUCCCGUGUCUCGGGGUGAUUCCAGUGUCUCAGGAGUCGCGUCUGAGCGGUAAUAGACGAGAGAGACCUAGAGAGAAGAGGUUGUUUGCGCUCCCGGGAGGUCCCGCUCUGCAUGAAAAGGAGCGAUGUAAAAGAGAUUGCCAACGAUAAGAAGCAAGGCGGCUCCACGGCUCCACAGAUUCACUCCAGUGAUCAGAGAGAGAGAGAGAGGUAAGUGUGAAACAUAAUCUGACCAGUGGAAUAAUGAAACUCAAGCAUCCGAUAAUGGGCGGGAGGUUUCUAUCUAAAUGGUGAUUAUGGUGAUUUU
rnacentral:lncRNA from 8 species